AUUAAAAAGGCAAACCCAUGAAUCAUGGGGACGCAAAGGUAGGGGUCUAAGGCGUUUUAAAACGCUAUGAUGACUUGGCUGCCAA
rnacentral:ncRNA from 1 species